CAUUCAAAUUAGACACCCCAAGAACUGUCAUAAUGGAUUGUCUGUAAAGAGAAAUUGUAAAAUCGUUAAAUUUUUGGUUUUCAUCAAAUUAUGUGUCCUGUGUUAUAAUACUGCAUUGUUUCGACUUCCUUAUGUAUUAUUGGAUGAUCUACAUCUAGGUGUUAAGAAAUCAUCAUUUGAAAGGAAGUGAUUUAAAAUCAAUCAAGGUGGCUUGACGCGGUCUCGGGCGUUGUCGAAACAUGAUUUGCAUUUCCUUGUACGCCCUGAUCGCCUCAGCCACGAUCCUCGCGUGCGUGCCCGUCUGCUACCGACAGUUGGAGAUGAACAAGUUCAUCAAGUGCUUGAAGAAGUAGAUGUUCCCCGUCAUGAUAAUUUGUGUCUCCUGUAUGACCGCCAUGAUCGCCGUCGGCUGUAUAUCCUGCGUCCCUAUUAUCUUGGACACCUAUUGGCCCGGGAAAAAGUGCAAGAAGGCGGAAUCCUGUAGAAAUCCUUCAUGUCCAAAAAAAUCUAGGUCUAAUUGAUGUACUGUAUAUAUUUGUCUUGAGUGAAAAUUAAAUUUUUUGGAAGUUUUUUGUCAUAUA